AUUGAACGCUGGCGGCAGGCCUAACACAUGCAAGUCGAGCGGAUGAAGGGAGCUUGCUCCUGGAUUCAGCGGCGGACGGGUGAGUAAUGCCUAGGGAUCUGCCUGGUAGUGGGGGAUAACGUCCGGAAACGGGCGCUAAUACCGCAUACGUCCUGAGGGAGAAAGUGGGGGAUCUUCGGACCUCACGCUAUCAGAUGAGCCUAGGUCGGAUUAGCUAGUUGGUGGGGUAAAGGCCUACCAAGGCGACGAUCCGUAACUGGUCUGAGAGGAUGAUCAGUCACACUGGAACUGAGACACGGUCCAGACUCCUACGGGAGGCAGCAGUGGGGAAUAUUGGACAAAGGGCGAAAGCCUGAUCCAGCCAUGCCGCGUGUGUGAAGAAGGUCUUCGGAUUGUAAAGCACUUUAAGUUGGGAGGAAGGGCAGUAAGUUAAUACCUUGCUGUUUUGACGUUACCAACAGAAUAAGCACCGGCUAACUUCGUG
rnacentral:rRNA from 1 species